UACGUAGGUGGCAAGCGUUGUCCGGAUUUACUGGGCGUAAAGAGCGCGCAGGCGGUCGUUCAAGUCGCGUGUGAAAGCCCCCGGCUCAACUGGGGAGGGUCACGCGAUACUGAUCGACUCGAAGGCAGGAGAGGGUAGUGGAAUUCCCGGUGUAGUGGUGAAAUGCGUAGAUAUCAGGAGGAACACCAACGGCGAAGGCAGCUCGCUGGGACGGUACUGACGCUGAGGCGCGAAAGCGUGGGGAGCGAACAGG
rnacentral:rRNA from 1 species